rnacentral:rRNA from 1 species
AGCGGCGGACGGGUGAGUAAUGCCUGGGAAUAUGCCCUGAUGUGGGGGAUAACUAUUGGAAACGAUAGCUAAUACCGCAUAAUCUCUUCGGAGCAAAGAGGGGGACCUUCGGGCCUCUCGCGUCAGGAUUAGCCCAGGUGGGAUUAGCUUGUUGGUGAGGUAAUGGCUCACCAAGGCAACGAUCCCUAGCUGGUCUGAGAGGAUGAUCAGCCACACUGGAACUGAGACACGGUCCAGACUCCUACGGGAGGCAGCAGUGGGGAAUAUUGCACAAUGGGGGAAACCCUGAUGCAGCCAUGCCGCGUGUGUGAAGAAGGCCUUCGGGUUGUAAAGCACUUUCAGUAGGGAGGAAGGUAGUGCAGUUAACACCUGCAUUAUUUGACGUUACCUACAGAAGAAGCACCGGCUAACUCCGUGCCAGCAGCCGCGGUAAUACGGAGGGUGCGAGCGUUAAUCGGAAUUACUGGGCGUAAAGCGCAUGCAGGCGGCCUGUUAAGUCAGAUGUGAAAGCCCGGGGCUUAACCUCGGAAUUGCAUUUGAAACUGGCAGG